AGCGUUGUUAGAGGUUUUUCUCCAACUGAUCAAUGCUAACUGGCUGUUUAACUCUUCCUGUGCUGGACGCAAUUUUGCUAGUCCCUUCUUUUGAUCCGAUCCAACUGCCUAUCCAAGCAUUGUGUAAACCCCACUUGGACUGACUGGCUGGUGUGGCUCUCCUUUGGCAUAUACUGUGGAAUCCUUUUUCACAGUUUGAUUUAAUGGCAUACAGCUGAUUUUAAUUGUGAUUGGAUGUUCUUGGACCUGGACGGCUUGUUGCACUGCCCUUGAUAAAGCUCAAUCGAGCGAAACAUGUCGGGCCUCCUUCAACAGGUUCCUCUGCUACUGUUUUAGUCGCUAACAUCACCUAUGAGACCAUCCAUGUCUUGUUUGAUAUUCUGUGUUAUUUAAAAACCAAUUUAUAUGUCUGAAUAAAUGAUUAUUUUUAUAUUUA